GUUGGGGUUAUCCGAUAGGCAACGGAGGCUGAGCCUCUAGGGUUCAGUCUCCGUUCACCGGUUAGGAAUUAGAUGGUUCAAGCCCAUUCCGCACGC
rnacentral:tRNA from 1 species